rnacentral:rRNA from 1 species
UAGUAACUGCGAGUGAAGCGGGAAAAGCUCAAAUUUAAAAUCUGGCAGUCUUUGAUUGUCCGAGUUGUAGUCUAGAGAAGCAUUUUCCGCGUUGGACCGUGUACAAGUCUCUUGGAAUAGAGCGUCAUAGAGGGUGAGAAUCCCGUCCAUGACACGGACUACCAGUGCUUUGUGAUGUGCUCUCAAAGAGUCGAGUUGUUUGGGAAUGCAGCUCAAAAUGGGUGGUAAAUUCCAUCUAAAGCUAAAUAUUGGCGAGAGACCGAUAGCGAACAAGUACCGUGAGGGAAAGAUGAAAAGCACUUUGGAAAGAGAGUUAAACAGUACGUGAAAUUGCUGAAAGGGAAACGAUUGAAGUCAGUCGCGUUAUUCAGAACUCAGCCUUACUUCGGUAUGGUGCAUUUUCUGUUUAACGGGCCAGCAUCAGUUUUGACCGCUGGAAAAAGGUUAGAGAAAUGUGGCACCUUCGGGUGUGUUAUAGUCUCUGAUUGUAUACAGUGGUUGGGACUGAGGAACUCAGUACACCUUUAUGGUCGGGGUUCGCCCACGUUUGUACUUAGGAUGCUGGCGUAAUGGCUUUAAGCGACCCGUCUUGAAACACGGACCAAGGAGUCUAACAUGCCUGCGAGUGUUUGGGUGGUAAACCCGAGCGCGUAAUGAAAGUGAAAGUUGGGAUCUCUGUCGUGGAGAGCACCGACGCCCGGCCCUGAACUUCUGUGACGGACCUGCGGUAGAGCAUGUAUGUUGGGACCCGAAAGAUGGUGAACUAUGCCUGAAUAGGGUGAAGCCAGAGGAAACUCUGGUGGAGGCUCGUAGCGAUUCUGACGUGCAAAUCGAUCGUCAAAUUUGGGUAUAGGGGCGAAAGACUAAUCGAACCAUCUAGUAGCUGGUCCUGC